UCCAGGGUAGCCUAGUGGACAUGGCAUCUGCCCGGUAAGCGGAAGGUCGUGGGUUCGAUUCCCGCCCCUGGGC